UAACGCGUGGGUAACCUGCCUCAUACAGGGGAAUAGCAGCUGGAAACGGCUGAUAAAACCGCAUAAGCGCACAGUGCCGCAUGGCACAGUGUGAAAAACUCCGGUGGUAUGAGAUGGACCCGCGUCUGAUUAGCUGGUUGGCGGGGUAACGGCCCACCAAGGCGACGAUCAGUAGCCGGCCUGAGAGGGUGAUCGGCCACAUUGGGACUGAGACACGGCCCAA
rnacentral:rRNA from 1 species